rnacentral:rRNA from 1 species
GAUGAACGCUGGCGGCGUGCCUAAUACAUGCAAGUCGAGCGAACGGACGAGAAGCUUGCUUCUCUGAUGUUAGCGGCGGACGGGUGAGUAACACGUGGAUAACCUACCUAUAAGACUGGGAUAACUUCGGGAAACCGGAGCUAAUACCGGAUAAUAUUUUGAACCGCAUGGUUCAAAAGUUAAAUACGGUCUUUCUUUCACUUAUAGAUGGAUCCGCGCUGCAUUAGCUAGUUGGUAAGGUAACGGCUUACCAAGGCAACGAUGCAUAGCCGACCUGAGAGGGUGAUCGGACACACUGGAACUGAGACACGGUCCAGACUCCUACGGGAGGCAGCAGUAGGGAAUAUUCCGCAAUGGGCGAAAGCCUGACGGAGCAACGCCGCGUGAGUGAUGAAGGUCUUCGGAUCGUAAAACUCUGUUAUUAGGGAAGAACAUAUGUGUAAGUAACUGUGCACAUCUUGACGGUACCUAAUCAGAAAGCCACGGCUAACUACGUG